rnacentral:rRNA from 1 species
CUUGGUCAUUUAGAGGAAGUAAAAGUCGUAACAAGGUUUCCGUAGGUGAACCUGCGGAAGGAUCAUUAUUGAAUAAACUUGAGCAGGCUGUUGCUGGCCCCUCCUGCAAAGGGGGCAUGUGCACGCUUGUCAUCUUUAUUUCUCCAACCUGUGCACAUAUUGUAGACCUGGGAGUGUUUGAAUAUUUUCGAGUUGGGACUGCUGCACGGUUGUUCGUCAGCUUUGCCUUGAUUUUUCAGGUCUAUGUCAUUUUCGCAAACCUCUGAACUUGUUUGGAAUGUAAAAAAACCUAUAAAAAUAUACAACUUUCAGCAACGGAUCUCUUGGCUCUCGCAUCGAUGAAGAACGCAGCGAAAUGCGAUAAGUAAUGUGAAUUGCAGAAUUCAGUGAAUCAUCGAAUCUUUGAACGCAUCUUGCGCUCCUUGGUAUUCCGAGGAGCAUGCCUGUUUGAGUGUCAUUUAAGUUCUCAAACCCCCACAUUUUGAUGGGGGGGUUUUGGAUGUGGGGGAAUAAUGCAGGCCUAGUCUGCUCCCCUGAAAUGCAUUAGUGGUAUCUGAGCAAAAUAAGUACUACAGGUGUGAUAAAUGUAUAUCUAUGCCUCUGGUAUGCUUGCAGAAACAGAUUGCACCGCUUCCCAACGACUUUAUUAUUAUUCUUUUAAAGACCUCAAAU